GCUGCACAGGCGGUCGCGGCCGUCUUCCGCAAAGGAGGCGGGUGAGGAAAGUCCGGGCUUCGCAGGGCAGGACGCCGGAUAACGUCCGGUGGAGGUGACUCCCAGGCCAGUGCAACAGAAAAGAAACCGCCUUUCCGCAAGCCGGAAGGGUAAGGGUGGAAUGGCAGUGCAAGAGACUACCGCGCUUCAGGUAACUGUAAGCGGCUGUGUAAACCCCGUCCGAAGCAAGACCAGAUUGAAAGCGAUGCAGCGGCCCGCUGCGGUCUUUCGGGUAGGUUGCUUGAGCCUGCCGGCAACGGCAGGCCUAGAAAGAUGAUCGCCGGCCUCCGGGUGAGAUUCCCAGAGCGCAACAUAACCCGGCUUAUCGUGCAGCUCUU
rnacentral:RNase_P_RNA from 1 species